UUGUGAGGUUAAGCGACUAAGCGUACACGGUGGAUGCCCUGGCAGUCAGAGGCGAUGAAGGACGUGCUAAUCUGCGAUAAGCGUCGGUGAGGUGAUAUGAACCGUUAUAACCGGCGAUUUCCGAAUGGGGAAACCCAGUGUGUUUCGACACACUAUCAUUAACUGAAUCCAUAGGUUAAUGAGGCGAACCGGGGGAACUGAAACAUCUAAGUACCCCGAGGAAAAGAAAUCAACCGAGAUUCCCCCAGUAGCGGCGAGCGAACGGGGAGGAGCCCAGAGCCUGAAUCAGUGUGUGUGUUAGUGGAAGCGUCUGGAAAGGCGCGCGAUACAGGGUGACAGCCCCGUACACAAAAAUGCACAUAUUGUGAGCUCGAUGAGUAGGGCGGGACACGUGGUAUCCUGUCUGAAUAUGGGGGGACCAUCCUCCAAGGCUAAAUACUCCUGACUGACCGAUAGUGAACCAGUACCGUGAGGGAAAGGCGAAAAGAACCCCGGCGAGGGGAGUGAAAAAGAACCUGAAACCGUGUACGUACAAGCAGUGGGAGCCUCUUAAUGGGGUGACUGCGUACCUUUUGUAUAAUGGGUCAGCGACUUAUAUUCUGUAGCAAGGUUAACCGAAUAGGGGAGCCGAAGGGAAACCGAGUCUUAACUGGGCGUUAAGUUGCAGGGUAUAGACCCGAAACCCGGUGAUCUAGCCAUGGGCAGGUUGAAGGUUGGGUAACACUAACUGGAGGACCGAACCGACUAAUGUUGAAAAAUUAGCGGAUGACUUGUGGCUGGGGGUGAAAGGCCAAUCAAACCGGGAGAUAGCUGGUUCUCCCCGAAAGCUAUUUAGGUAGCGCCUCGUGAAUUCAUCUCCGGGGGUAGAGCACUGUUUCGGCAAGGGGGUCAUCCCGACUUACCAACCCGAUGCAAACUGCGAAUACCGGAGAAUGUUAUCACGGGAGACACACGGCGGGUGCUAACGUCCGUCGUGAAGAGGGAAACAACCCAGACCGCCAGCUAAGGUCCCAAAGUCAUGGUUAAGUGGGAAACGAUGUGGGAAGGCCCAGACAGCCAGGAUGUUGGCUUAGAAGCAGCCAUCAUUUAAAGAAAGCGUAAUAGCUCACUGGUCGAGUCGGCCUGCGCGGAAGAUGUAACGGGGCUAAACC
rnacentral:rRNA from 1 species